rnacentral:lncRNA from 1 species
AAUGUGAAAGAAAAAAGUUAUAUACAUAAAACUAUCAAUUGCUUCAUUGUCCAUCAUAGUAAAAUACUAAAGUCAUAUAAAUGUUCAAAAGAAAGGUAUUGCUUAGAUAAAUUACAGUACAGUUACUAGGUAGUAUAAUAAUGCCAUUAUUAAAAUGUUAACUAUAAAGGCUGGGAAGAAUAUGGAAAAGUGUUUAUGACAUAAUAUAAAAUUUAAAAACACAAGUAUGUGCAGACAUGACUACAGCUAUGUAGGGAAGUUUUAGGGCAAAGGCCAGAAGUAACUAUAUACAGAAGAAAAUAUUUAUGUUGGGGUUGUGACAUUACAGGUGGUUUAAAAGUUUCUGCUACGUUUGAUUUUAUGGCAUGGUUUUAAAUAUGUAUACACACACACACGAAAUAUAAUAGAAAUCGAAGCUGCUGUAAGCAUUUAUUAGUUUCUCCUUAUCAAGAACUUCCAGUCUGAUGUGCCCUUCAUCCAUAGUUGACCGUUGGAUUUUAGCUACAGAACCAGAGAGCAGAAGGGUCUGAGUCUUAUUGGAAAAGCAUUACUUUCUCCAUCUGCCCUGUGAGCCAGACAAUCCCUUCAUUUCCCUCUGUUCACAGCUCGACAUUCUUGGAAUUAUCUAAUCUCCAGCUGGCCAGAUGGAUGAGAGUCAGACUGGGCCUGCACUGGGUUUUACACAACGCAAGGCCUUCUGGAUGGCCUGAGAUGAUUGCAUGCUUUCUGACUUCUCAGCUUCCUUGGCAGGAAUUUAUGAUGAGUAAUAAUGCCUGGGACCUGGUUUUCGCUUCGUAAGUAUUUGUGAACAAAUGGAGGAAGAAACACAUGGAAUGGAUGACUGCUUAAAACCAAAACCAAAGCCAAAGAAAACCAAAAACAACUCUGGCAGGCCCAGGGGUCCAGCUUUAAUCAGCUGAAGGCUGCAAUUAUCCUUUGGACCCCAAAGCUGAAGAACAGGUUAGAAAUUGCCAAAAGUGACCAGAGCUGCACAGCCACCCAUCUGGGUGAAUCGGCAUGUUUUCUGGCCUUCUGAACGACCUGAAGUGAAGCAACAGUGGCGGGGCAAGUGUUCCUCAUUGUUGGUGAGGACACAGUGCAGGCCAUUCUGUGCAUGCGCUGGUGCCAAGCUGGCCCCUGGUCAUCACGGCAGGAUUUCAGAUACUUAAAAAAUCCACUCAAACCCUGGAGAGAGAGGUGGGAUUAUCUCCAGGUUGGGAUGGGGAGAGGCUGGUUCCUGUGGAAGUCAUAAAUCACUGAGCCGGGUAACCAAGGGCAGCUGAGAACUCUCAGUUCUCUGACAGCCCAAGAUGUGUGCCCAGAGUCCAGCCACAGCCCUCAGGCUUCCAAUGACCUAGGCAAGCCCCAGGGUCAGGCCCAGGUCCUGGGUCCCAGGUGUCCUCUCCCUUUUGGUACCUACCAGUCUAUCCUUAAGUGUUCUUUGUCAUUCCCCAGAGCUCAAUACACAGCCCCUGAAGCCAAGUAGGAAAAAAAAGAAGCAAACAGACAAGGACCAUUAUGAUAAGUUAUAUUGAUGCUGAGGGUAGAAAGGAAUGGUAUAUCCUUUAGAAGAAUUAAGCUAAUUUUAAAAUGUGGAUUUAUGUGCAGGGGCUUCAUAAUCAGCCUACAUUACUACCUGAAAGAACCAGUCAUUGAAUAAUAAUAAAGAUAUGUAUGUGUAUUUGUAUAUACAUAUACCCACAUAUGUAGAGUUAUACAUUAUUUAAAGGUUUCCAGGCCUUUAUUCUUGACAGAGGUCAGUUCUUUUAACCUUGACCCCCUUGGGUUCUUGUCACCUUCAUAUGUGAAUGAGUAUUAAUAUAUUUUUGUGUACU